ACGCUGGCGGCGUGCCUAAUACAUGCAAGUCGAGCGAAUGGAUUAAGAGCUUGCUCUUAUGAAGUUAGCGGCGGACGGGUGAGUAACACGUGGGUAACCUGCCCAUAAGACUGGGAUAACUCCGGGAAACCGGGGCUAAUACCGGAUAACAUUUUGAACCGCAUGGUUCGAAAUUGAAAGGCGGCUUCGGCUGUCACUUAUGGAUGGACCCGCGUCGCAUUAGCUAGUUGGUGAGGUAACGGCUCACCAAGGCAACGAUGCGUAGCCGACCUGAGAGGGUGAUCGGCCACACUGGGACUGAGACACGGCCCAGACUCCUACGGGAGGCAGCAGUAGGGAAUCUUCCGCAAUGGACGAAAGUCUGACGGAGCAACGCCGCGUGAGUGAUGAAGGCUUUCGGGUCGUAAAACUCUGUUGUUAGGGAAGAACAAGUGCUAGUUGAAUAAGCUGGCACCUUGACGGUACCUAACCAGAAAGCCACGGCUAACUACGUGCCAGCAGCCGCGGUAAUACGUAGGUGGCAAGCGUUAUCCGGAAUUAUUGGGCGUAAAGCGCGCGCAGGUGGUUUCUUAAGUCUGAUGUGAAAGCCCACGGCUCAACCGUGGAGGGU
rnacentral:rRNA from 2 species